rnacentral:rRNA from 1 species
GAAUUGAUGCAUCGGUCGUGCCUUAAGGGGCAUGAACUGGUGUAGCCAAUUUCUCACCUUCUGGUGAAUUGUUGAUGUUCUUAAUGGGUGUCUCAAUGAACUUAGAAUUUUUACUUUGAAAAAUUAGAGUGUUUAAAGCAGGCAUUAAUUUGCUUGAAUACAUUAGCAUGGAAUAAUGAAAUAGGACAGUGGUUCCGUUUUGUUGGUUUCUAGGAUCACGUA